UACGAAGGGGGCGAGCGUUGUUCGGAUUUACUGAGCGUAAAGGGCGCGCAGGCGGUCUUGAAAGUCAGGCGUGAAAGCCCCGGGCUUAACCUGGGAAUUGCGCUUGAUACUCUGAGACUGGAGUACGGGAGAGGAGAGUGGAAUUCCCAGUGUAGAGGUGAAAUUCGUAGAUAUUGGGAAGAACACCAGUGGCGAAGGCGGCUCUCUGGACCGUAACUGACGCUGAGGCGCGAAAGCGUGGGGAGCAAACAGG
rnacentral:rRNA from 1 species